rnacentral:rRNA from 1 species
UACGAAGGGUGCAAGCGUUAAUCGGAAUUACUGGGCGUAAAGCGCGCGUAGGUGGUUCAGUAAGUUGGAUGUGAAAUCCCCGGGCUCAACCUGGGAACUGCAUCCAAAACUGCUGAGCUAGAGUACGGUAGAGGGUAGUGGAAUUUCCUGUGUAGCGGUGAAAUGCGUAGAUAUAGGAAGGAACACCAGUGGCGAAGGCGACUACCUGGACUGGUACUGACACUGAGGCACGAAAGCGUGGGGAGCGAACAGU